rnacentral:rRNA from 1 species
UACGUAGGGUGCAAGCGUUGUCCGGAAUUAUUGGGCGUAAAGAGCUCGUAGGCGGUUCGUCGCGUCGGCUGUGAAAACCUGAGGCUCAACCUCAGGCCUGCAGUCGAUACGGGCGGACUUGAGUACUGCAGGGGAGACUGGAAUUCCUGGUGUAGCGGUGAAAUGCGCAGAUAUCGGGAAGAACACCCGUGGCGAAGGCGGCUCUCUGGGACGGUACUGACGCUGAGACGCGAAAGCGUGGGGAGCGAACAGG